AAGGGGGGAUCUUCGGACCUCUCGCUAAUAGAUGAGCCUAGGCCGGAUUAGCUAGUUGGUAGGGUAAAGGCCUACCAAGGCGACGAUCUGUAAGCUGGUCUGAGAGGAUGGCCAGCCACACUGGAACUGAGACACGGUCCAGACUCCUACGGGAGGCAGCAGUGGGGAAUAUUGGACAAUGGGGGCAACCCCUGAUCCAGCCCAUGCCGCGUGUGUGAAGAAGGCCUUCGGGUUGUAAAGCACUUUAAGCGAGGAGGAAGGUUUUAGUUUAAUACACUAAAGAAUUGACGUUACUCGCAGAAUAAGCACCGGCUAACUCUGUG
rnacentral:rRNA from 1 species